UACGUAGGGUGCGAGCGUUAAUCGGAAUUACUGGGCGUAAAGGGUGCGUAGGUGGUUUGUUAAGUCAGGUGUGAAAUCCCUGGGCUCAACCUGGGAACUGCAUUUGAUACUGGCAGACUCGAGUCUGGUAGAGGGUAGUGGAAUUCCGCAUGUAGCGGUGAAAUGCGUAGAUAUGCGGAGGAACAUCAGUGGCGAAGGCGGCUUCCUGGACUAAAACUGACACUGAGGCACGAAAGCGUGGGUAGCAAACAGG
rnacentral:rRNA from 1 species